rnacentral:rRNA from 1 species
GUUAGCGGCGGACGGGUGAGUAACACGUGGGUAACCUGCCUGUAAGACUGGGAUAACUCCGGGAAACCGGGGCUAAUACCGGAUGGUUGUUUGAACCGCAUGGUUCAAACAUAAAAGGUGGCUUCGGCUACCACUUACAGAUGGACCCGCGGCGCAUUAGCUAGUUGGUGAGGUAAUGGCUCACCAAGGCAACGAUGCGUAGCCGACCUGAGAGGGUGAUCGGCCACACUGGGACUGAGACACGGCCCAGACUCCUACGGGAGGCAGCAGUAGGGAAUCUUCCGCAAUGGACGAAAGUCUGACGGAGCAACGCCGCGUGAGUGAUGAAGGUUUUCGGAUCGUAAAGCUCUGUUGUUAGGGAAGAACAAGUACCGUUCGAAUAGGGCGGUACCUUGACGGUACCUAACCAGAAAGCCACGGCUAACUACGUGCCAGCAGCCGCGGUAAUACGUAGGUGGCAAGCGUUGUCCGGAAUUAUUGGGCGUAAAGGGCUCGCAGGCGGUUUCUUAAGUCUGAUGUGAAAGCCCCCGGCUCAACCGGGGAGGGUCAUUGGAAACUGGGGAACUUGAGUGCAGAAGAGGAGAGUGGAAUUCCACGUGUAGCGGUGAAAUGCGUAGAGAUGUGGAGGAACACCAGUGGCGAAGGCGACUCUCUGGUCUGUAACUGACGCUGAGGAGCGAAAGCGUGGGGAGCGAACAGGAUUAGAUACCCUGGUAGUCCACGCCGUAAACGAUGAGUGCUAAGUGUUAGGGGGUUUCCGCCCCUUAGUGCUGCAGCUAACGCAUUAAGCACUCCGCCUGGGGAGUACGGUCGCAAGACUGAAACUCAAAGGAAUUGACGG